CUUGGUCAUUUAGAGGAAGUAAAAGUCGUAACAAGGUCUCCGUAGGUGAACCUGUAAGUUUAUCAAUGCUCCAGAAAUGAUUAUCUUCACUACUAACAAUAUUCAGGCGGAGAGAUCAUUACAGAGAAAGGGCCUUCGGGUCCGACCUCCAACCCCAUGUUUUCUGUCCUUGUUGCUUCGGGGGACGAAGCCGCCUCGCGCGGUGGACGCCCCCGGAGAACCACUAAACUCUGCAUCAUUUGCGUCUGAGUAUUAUUUUGAAUAAAUCAAAACUUUCAACAACGGAUCUCUUGGUUCUGGCAUCGAUGAAGAACGCAGCGAAAUGCGAUAAGUAAUGUGAAUUGCAGAAUUCAGUGAAUCAUCGAAUCUUUGAACGCACAUUGCGCCCUUUGGUAUUCCUUAGGGCACACCUGUUCGAGCGUCAUUACACCACUCAAGCCUAGCUUGGUAUUGGGCGCCGCGGCUUCGUCGCGCGCCUCAAAGACGUCGGCCGAGUCUUCAAGUCUCUUAGCGUUGUGCAAACUCUCGCUGGUGAGGAUUGAUGGCCCGCGCCGUAAAACCUUUCUUUUCAAGGUUGACCUCGGAUCAGGUGGGGAUACCCGCUGAACUUAAGCAUAUCAAUAAGCGGAGGA
rnacentral:rRNA from 1 species